rnacentral:tRNA from 1 species
GUUGUAGCUCAGUGGUGGAGCGCUUGCCUAGCAUGUGCGAGGCACUGGGUUCGAUUCUCAGCACCACA